rnacentral:rRNA from 1 species
GACGAACGCUGGCGGCGUGCUUAACACAUGCAAGUCGAACGGUAAGGCUCCAGCUUGCUGGGGUACACGAGUGGCGAACGGGUGAGUAACACGUGGGUGACCUGCCCUGCACUUCGGGAUAAGCCUGGGAAACUGGGUCUAAUACCGGAUAGGACCAUGGUGUGGAUACUGUGGUGGAAAGUUUUUUCGGUGUGGGAUGGGCCCGCGGGCUAUCAGCUUGUUGGUGGGGUAAUGGCCUACCAAGGCGUCGACGGGUAGCCGGCCUGAGAGGGUGGACGGCCAAAUGGGGACUGAGACACGGCCCAGACGCAUACGGGAGGAAGAAGUGGGGAAUAGUGAACAAUGGGCGGAAGCAUGAUGCAGAGACGCAGCGUGGGGAUGACGGCCUUCGGGUUGUAAACUCCUUUCACCAUCGACGAAGGGUUUCUGACGGUAGAUGGAGAAGAAGCACCGGCUAACUACGUG